rnacentral:lncRNA from 10 species
AUGAGCCAGCGCAUCUGGCUACCUUAUUUUUCUAUUACUGGCUCAAUGUAAUGGCUCCAUCUCAGGAACAGCCAAUGAAAGAGAUGCACAGGACAGGAAACAGGACCUUGCCCUGUCACUCAGGAUGGAGUUCAGUGGUCCUAUCAUGGCUCAUUAUAGCCUCAAACUCCCAGGCUCAAGCAAUCCUACCAUGUCAGCCUUCCCAGUAGCUGGGACUACAGGUCUCACACUGUCACCCAGGCUGGAGUACAGUGGCACAACCUCUGCUCACUGCAGCCUCCACCUGCCAGGCUCAAGCAAUUCUCCUGCCUCAGCCUCCCGAGUAGCUGGGAUUACAGGAAGUGACCGCACAAUGACUCAAGCUACCACAUACUGUUGAUUGUGAAAUGCCAGUUGAAGCAUAUGUCCUGCGAGCUUAGGGGUGCUACAAGUUGACCACUGCAGCAGUAAAGAUGACUCUGAAGAAUGGCGUGGGAUGGAUCCUUUCGAAUGCAUUUGAGCAGCGGUCUCCAACCACAGGGCCACAGAGCUGGAGGUGAGCAGCAGCUGGAUCUACCAUGAAAGACUUCUGAAUCCAGGAAGAGAGACUGACUGGGCAACAUGUUAUUCAGGGUCUCCCUCUGUUGUCCAAGGCUGGAGUGUAGUAGUGCUAUCACAGCUGACUGCAGCCUCAACCUUCCAGGCUGAAGCGAUCCUCCCAUCUCAACCUCCCACGUGGCUGAGACUACAGGUGCUUGCCACUAUGCCCAACUAAUAUUUGGAAUUUUUGUAUACGUGGAUUCCAGAGGGGUGACAGCGAAACGUGGGACCAUCCAGUUGCAGGAAAACAAGCUUAACACGCCCACUGAUUCUACAUUAUGCUCCUACCUCCUGGCAGCCUCUCCAGGCCCAGAACUUUCUCCAGUCAGCCUCUACAGACCAAGCUCAUGACUCACAAU